rfam:Ovis aries breed Texel chromosome 1, whole genome shotgun sequence.
UCCUUGGUGGUCCAGUGGUAAGACUCUGCACACCCAUUGCAGAGGGCACGGAUUCAAUUCCUGGCUGGGGAA